AUACGGAGGGUGCGAGCGUUAAUCGGAAUUACUGGGCGUAAAGCGUGCGUAGGCGGUUUGCUAAGUCAGAUGUGAAAGCCCCGGGCUUAACCUGGGAACUGCAUUUGAUACUGGCAGACUAGAGUAUGAUAGAGGGGGGUAGAAUUCCUGGUGUAGCGGUGAAAUGCGUAGAUAUCAGGAGGAAUACCAGUGGCGAAGGCGGCCCCCUGGAUCAAUACUGACGCUGAGGUACGAAAGCGUGGGGAGCAAACAGGAUUAGAAACCCUAGUAGUCC
rnacentral:rRNA from 1 species